rnacentral:rRNA from 1 species
GACGAACGCUGGCGGCGUGCUUAACACAUGCAAGUCGAACGAAGUGGCGAACGGGUGAGUAACGCGUAAUACACCUGCCCUUCAGGGGGGGACAACAGUUGGAAACGACUGCUAAUACCGCAUACUGAGUUAGGGGAGUGAGUCGGAUUAGCUAGUUGGAGGGGUAACGGCCCACCAAGGCGAUGAUAAGUAGCCGGCCUGAGAGGAUGAACGGCCACACUGGGACUGAGACACGGCCCAGACUCCUACGGGAGGCAGCAGUGGGGAAUCUUCCGCAAUGGACGGAAGUCUGACGGAGCAACGCCGCGUGAGUGAUGACGGCCUUCGGGUCGUAAAGCUCUGUUAAUCGGGACGCGGUACCGGAAUAGAAAGCCACGGCUAACUACGUGCCAGCAGCCGCGGUAAUUC